GGCUCGGUAACUUAGUUGGUAAAGCACUUGUCUAGCGAAUAAGGGUCGUGAGUUCAAAUCUCACCUGAGCUG
rfam:Aedes albopictus isolate Foshan contig38422, whole genome shotgun sequence.